AGCAGCUCCAACGUAGUGCGCGUCGUCGGGCGACAGUUUCGCGCCGAAAAAGACUUGGAGCUGAUGCGAUUGCCAUCAAACGCUCAGUGUAGCUCGUGUCGCCAAAGCGCCUUGUCACGCUCCGUUGUAGUCUUCAAGUGACGCUUAAAGUUUCUGUUGGAUAUUUUAUUGUUUCUGUAUUGAAGGUUUCCUGCCGAAGGCCCCAAUCAUCUGUGUAAAUAAGUGAACGUAACGAAUUUUUAAAAGCGCUGAGUCUACACAUAUUAAUGACUUAAAAAUCACACCUGAAACCACUACGCUGCCUUUAUUCGUAACCGGAGUUCGAAUUACACUGUGAAUUUAAAAGCACCGACUGCAUUUACAUUA